rnacentral:rRNA from 1 species
UACGAAGGGGGCUAGCGUUGCUCGGAAUCACUGGGCGUAAAGGGUGCGUAGGCGGGUCUUUAAGUCAGGGGUGAAAUCCUGGAGCUCAACUCCAGAACUGCCUUUGAUACUGAGGAUCUUGAGUACGGGAGAGGUGAGUGGAACUGCGAGUGUAGAGGUGAAAUUCGUAGAUAUUCGCAAGAACACCAGUGGCGAAGGCGGCUCACUGGCCCGUAACUGACGCUGAGGCACGAAAGCGUGGGGAACAAACAGG